UUUUACCAUAAUCUUACGUUAAAUGUUAAUAAUUCUUUUGGAAUGUUAAUAUUUCUUUUGGAAUGCAGGUUUCAAAUGGCAAAAUAUAAUUGCUACAGCAAAUUAAGAAGAUUAAUAGGUUUAAAAUGCAGGUUUCAAAUGGUAACAAUACAACCUAGGAUAUAAUUUAUAAUUAAGAAGAUUAAUAGGUUUAAAAUG